AUACCCACAUGGCAGGGGAGAUACCAUAAUAAUAAGUUGGUUUUCCCAGGGCAAUGGUUAUCCAUUGCACUCCAGAUGUGAUCACUCUGUAAUUUUCCCUAAUGUGGGAAACCUGACGGCAUAAUUUGGGGGAAGGGUAGACUAAGAUCACACUCUCCCCUA